rnacentral:lncRNA from 1 species
AUUUGAAUUAAAUUUUAACACUGUUGGAAGAAAGAUGGAAGAAAAUCUUCUUUCUUCACAGGGGAAGCAGAUUUUGCUUCUUAUCAUAAGAAGAACCAAGCAGUGCCUCUGACCUGGGCCAGUGGUCUCCUCUCAGUGGUGGCCAUUCAGACCUCCAAACACAGGGCACUGGCAGCUUGGCUCCCCUUACAAAAACCUCCACAUGUGCAAGAAGCAGAACUCAAGCUGCCUAUCAGAUGUUUUUGACCAGCCUUUUGUCCUCUGCAACUCAGUGGGAAGCAGCAC